AACUACACACAGGUGCGGUGAUGAACAAACAACUUAUGACCCUGAAAACCCGAACGUUUUUAAACCCUACAAGCGACAAUAUCAGAUUGUUACACGAGCAAAUGUUUUUAAAUGAAAGCAACGCUAAGGUUAAAGUUGAAAAGCUUGCUGUGCUUUGACUCACCUUGAGCGGCCGUUCCUCGGCUGCUGAAAACACUUGCUAUCAAAGUGGCCACAUACCAAAUCAUAGUACUAUUCCCCACCGGAAGUUAACCUCAUCGUAGCUCAAAGUGCCCCUUUCGGUGAAGCGUUCAUCGUCGAGUGUUCCAGUGCGGAUCGAAGCAAACCGCUCUUGGAGACACACAUACAAACCAAGCCGCCAGGGGCCCGCCUCUACUUUUAUCUCAUUGGUCCAGCCUACUCCAUGCAGGGCGAGCUGGUCGUGGAUCUUCCAGCCUUCUGACGUCACCUCUUCUGCAGCCUACAGGCACCUGAUGCAACAAAAUGGCCUGGCAAAAAAAAACAAAAAAAAACAGCUGCCCCUGUAUGGAACUACUUUGACCAACAUGGUAUUGGUUUUAGUGUGUUUAAUUAAGAUAAUAUAAUAACAUAUUAAAUAUAUUGU